rnacentral:hammerhead_ribozyme from 1 species
AGUCGAAACGGGGCGCAGGCCCCGUCCCGGGGAGCGACCGCCCCCGGCUGAUGAGACAGGUCAAA